UUCUUUAAUUUUAGAGAUAUAAAAUCUGCUAUGAUAGUUGGUAGGAUUCAAACCUAAACCGAAUCUCUUUUUUGGUUUGAUUCUUCGGUGCUCAGAUUAAUGUUCUAGAUAAUAAAAUUAUUUUUAGCAUUAUUAGUUUCUUAUCCAAGUAUUACGUAUUUAAAUUUUAGUUCAACCUUAGUUUAUGUAUGUUAUAUAGAUGAAAUAUUAGUAUAUGUAUUUAUGUUUUUCUAUAUUUUAAUAACUAAACCAGAAAAAUAAAUGUAUCUACAUUAAUAUGUGUAACCACACUUCAUUAAUUUCUUUUCGGUUGAGGGAGUGGUCCACUAACAAAUAUGUCCCGCACAUGAUUUUUACUUUUCUUAUUUAUUUAAUUUUAACAAAAAUUUGGGCGAAUGGUGAACAAAUUUUUGUCCUGCAGUGCGUUCUCCUCGGACCACUAUAAACAUUCAAUGAUAAACAUUCAAUGUUUCAGUAGUUUUGUGCUUUUGUUAUAUCAAUAAAGUUGGAUAUCCAGUUACAAACAAAAUAAAGUUAGAUAUCAAUAUUAUUUGGUGAAACAUAUGAUUGGUUAAAACUGAUAUCGUGUGGUCACCAUCGUCUCAUCGAUAUGAAGAUUGGACACGGUUCAUCAUGCAUGUGCGUAGGUAUAACAAAAUUUCCUAAGUUGAAAUUCCAUAUUUCUCUAAAUUACUUGGUCAUAAUGUUCGGUAGUUUUUGUCGAUAUUAAUUGGUGAAACGUUUUUAAAAGAAAAAACCUUAGUGAAACAUAUAUAUAUAAUUUGGUUAUUGCUGAUUCAGCUCUAAUUUUUUGGGAUUGGUAUCAAUAUUCAACAUAGGAAAUCUAGUUACAACUACGCACAUUGUUGGCUUCGAAUCUUUAUUUUACGAUCAAUAAAUAUAUAAAUAUGUUAGCAAAAAAAUAUAAAUAAAAAGCUUUUGUUUUCCAAAAAAAUGUGAGUCAACAAAUUAAACAAAGGGUUCGUGUGAUUAGCUGGCACGUGCAAGGCUCUCUACUCCAUAUGUUUAUCAAGCAUUGUCGUAAUCGUUAUAUUAUUUUAUUUUUUUGAAAAAGGGCAUAUAAUCGUUAUAUUAUUAAGGCUGGACAAAUAAAUUUUUUUGGAUAUCUGUAACUUUACGAAGCAAAACAAAUACUGAUUUACAAUAUCCGUAAGAAAUGAAUCAAAUCAUAAAUAUUAAUAUUUUUAAGAACUGAUAUCUGAUCUGAUCUGAUCUGUUAUAUGCACGCAUAUACAUAUAUUUCCAAUAUUUUAUAUAUCAAUUAUUUAUAAAUUAUAUAAAUAUUAUAUUCUAUGUUAAUUUUACAAUAUUUUAUAUAUCGAAUUUUUAUAUUAUUUAUCAGAAUUUUUAAAACUAAAUAAUUUUGAUUUUUGUAAUGAAAUAUUAUCAUAAUAUAUAUUUUUGAAUUUUUAUUUAUUUAAAUUUUAUAUUUAAUUUGUACGGAUCGAAUUGAAUAUUCAGUUAAAAAUAUGAUUUUUUUUUUUAAUAUUCUCAAUACCGAAUAUUUGGGUACCUACAUAUCGAAUCAAAUCGGAUAGUUGAUUAUUCACAACAAAAUAGAUCGAAUUACGAAUGCCUCUAAAACCUUGAUAUUCGAUCGGUGUCACCCCAUAUUAACUUAUAGUUGAUCGCGUGGAGUCUCUUCCUCCAUUGUAUAUCUUCUUCUAUAAGUAGCUAGGGUUCCUCCUUUGCAUAAAUAUAUACUUUUUGUUGACUGAGUAUAUAUAUAUAUAUAUAUACUUUCUUUACAUUAUUAUAACUUUUUAAGAAUAGUUAUGGGUCUAUGAAUGGUAUAUAUGUUUGUUCAAAAAAAAAAAAGAAUGGUAUAUAUAUCCGAAGACGUAGGUGGUGAUCAAGAGUGGUUGGGUUCGAUGCAAGGCUUGUCAAAGUGAGCAAUCUUAUGUGUUCUCAUCUUGGUUUCGUUGUCUGUUCGACCUUGGCCUCGAUCUCUCAUCGAAACCGACUCCGACUAGCGCCCAAAGACCGUCCGGUGAACCCCCGUAGGAGCCGCCGGAGCCCGCCGAGGAUCAUCCAGAGGUGCUGGCCAGCCACAUGUAAUUGGACCAGUGGCCGUGCUCGUGUGAAGUGUCCGUAUUGGGCCCGAAGACCCUCAAGAGCAACAUCUGCCAGCGGUGGCCCUCGAACCCUUGACCUCCCGAAGAAGGGGCAGAGAGCGAGAUAGUUCAACCACCACUGGACCACUAAAGCGCGGUUCAUUCAUACAGCAUUUUACUCAGAUAUAAACGACUUUAACACAUUAACUCAUUAAGUAUUAAAAGUUUAUAAAACAAAAUUUGACCAAGUUGAAACAUAUUAAAAGAUGUAUUCUUCUAUUUUAAUUUUAAUUUGUUAAAAAUAAAGUGAAACAAAUGAGAGACACACCAAAUAAAUGAAUUAUCUUAUUUUGAAUCUUUGAUUAUUAUAUAGUUAUAUUUAUAAAAAAAUUAUUUUGACUAAAGAAUAUUAUAAACAAAUGAGAGAUUUACCAAAUAAACUGUAUGAAAAUGUUUGCGUGCAGGAAAACAAUACAUCUAGGAGGAAUUACAGACAAUGGUCAAUGAGCUGGUUUAUAGUUCCAAUCAGAACCAUUAUUCCAUAACCAAUCAAUGGAAAUGAAAUGAUUGGCCUUAACAGAUGUAACCGGUUUCAAGCUUUGUCCUCAGUGCAGUUACUGUAACUAGAUCAACAUAGACGUCAUCUGAAUCUUGCAGAUUUUGAACUGUCAUCUCACGGACUAAUGAUUGAAGAAUCAUUGUCCUGGACCUCCUGGUUUUCUAGCUGAUGAACACUCUGGCCUCAAAAUCUCACACAUAUGUGACAGCCAACCUGCUUUUAACUUGUGGGGAAAGAAACAUAAUUUGCUCUAGGUUUUUUCACGUUUGGUCAACCCUGGAAAUGUCGCCAGGGUCAUUUAUUUUCUUUAGUUGAAACUUUAUUUUAGAAGUUUAGUAAAGUUACUACUAAAUCACUGAAACUCCUUCCUAAAAUUCUUAUAACUCUUUAGUUAUUUUUAAAAUUUAACGAGUUUGAUUAUAAUAUUUUUUUUAAAGUAAUAAAAUUAGGCAUGUUUUUAUUGAGUAAACUAUUCAGAGUUUCUUAUUGGUUAAAAAUACUUAGCAGAGCUACAAGUUUCAGCAUAAGAGAAAAAUAAACAAAAGCAGAGGAUUAUGAUUGAAACCACAACCUGUCUAAUUAGCUAUCCUUCAAGCUGGGCCAGUCUUCUGUUUUGUUUCAACCUCCAUAAUAAGCCUUUAGCAACACUCUGUUUCCCAAGAAAAAAGGAAUAGCACACUCUGUUGCCUAUUACCAACUUUACCUUCUUCAAAACCGUGUUUGUAACCAACUCUGGUGACACCUCUGUUCGCAACUGAGGCUGAGGUCGCAUGCUGUGGUCUUGAUGGUGUGACCUUAGAUGGCUCGGUCUGAAAAUUUGGAGAGAAAAGCAAGUUUAGGGUUUUAAGUUGAUUACUUUGCUACUUUCUUGGUGUUCAAGAAAGAUAUAAUUACUUGCAUUGUAGAACUAUACCUUGUCAUGAGACAUCGGUCUAAAGCCGGAGUGUCAACAGACUCAACACCACCUUGUCUAAAGGAGGACAAGGAGUGUCAACAGACUCAACACCACCUUCUUCAUCAAGAGCUCUAUCGUAUCAUCUGAAAUCACCACAAUCUCAUCAUAGUUCACGCAAUGAUCACUUCGGCUCCUUUCUUGAUCACACUUAUAUUGUUCAUGGCUGUACUUACAAGAACCGUCUGAUUGAUUGAUAAACCAUCCUUCUCGAA